GAAGGCCAGACUUACGGAUGUCGGCGUAGCGAUUAAGAGUGGGAAGAUCUGAAGGAAGGCGCUCCGAGAUCUUUCCAUCCUCCUGCCGAAGAUCCAGGAAUAUCCAUCGGUAGCGCUUCCUGCAUCCUCCCUUGGCCAACUGGUGGCGAUUUCCUGACUUUGUGCAUUGGAUCCAGACCCAGGGAGCAGGCAGUGGGCAGCAGAGGCCCUCUGCCAUCUUUUGCCCAUCCUGCGGCGCAACGAAUAGACGCUGGCACGAACGUCAAGGUCACGA